rnacentral:rRNA from 1 species
CCUACGGGGGGCAGCAGUGGGGGAUAUUGCACAAUGGGGGGAACCCUGAUGCAGCGACGCCGCGUGGGUGAAGAAGCGCCUCGGCGCGUAAAGCCCUGUCAGCAGGGAAGAAAAUGACGGUACCUGAAGAAGAAGCCCCGGCUAACUACGUGCCAGCAGCCGCGGUAAUACGUAGGGGGCAAGCGUUAUCCGGAUUUACUGGGUGUAAAGGGGGCGCAGACGGCGAUGCAAGCCAGGAGUGAAAGCCCGGGGGCCAACCCCGGGACUGCUCUUGGAACUGCGUGGCUGGAGUGCAGGAGGGGAAGGCGGAAUGCCUGGUGUAGCGGUGAAAUGCGUAGAUAUCAGGAGGAACACCGGUGGCGAAGGCGGCCUGCUGGACUGCAACUGACGUUGAGGCCCGAAAGCGUGGGGAGCAAACAGGAUUAGAUACCCUGGUAGUC